CUACGGGCGGCUCCAGUGGGGAAUAUUGCACAAUGGGCGCAAGCCUGAUGCAGCCAUGCCGCGUGUAUGAAGAAGGCCUUCGGGUUGUAAAGUACUUUCAGCGGGGAGGAAGGGAGUAAAGUUAAUACCUUUGCUCAUUGACGUUACCCGCAGAAGCAGCACCGGCUAACUCCGUGCCAGCAGCCGCGGUAAUACGGAGGGUGCAAGCGUUAAUCGGAAUUACUGGGCGUAAAGCGCCCGCAGGCGGUUUGUUAAGUCAGAUGUGAAAUCCCCGGGCUCAACCUGGGAACUGCAUCUGAUACUGGCAAGCUAGAGUGUCGUAGAGGGGGGUAGAAUUCCAGGUGUAGCGGUGAAAUGCGUAGAGAUCUGGAGGAAUACCGGUGGCGAAGGCGGCCCCCUGGACGAAGACUGACGCUCAGGUGCGAAAGCGUGGGGAGCAAACAGGAUUAGAUACCCCAGUAGUC
rnacentral:rRNA from 1 species